CUUGACUAGCCAGCCCAUUGGUUAAUUUUUGCUCUUCACAAUUCUGGACUCUUUGGCAGUGUCUCAGCUGUAGAGUAAAAUUGCCACAUCCUAAGCGUGCCUAACCAGCUUGAAAGGUUAUAUUGUGUCUUCAACACACAUCAUCCACAUACACCCUCCAGCAGCAAGCACAGGCAGUCUCCUUAAUUAUACUCUAGGGCAGACUGAGUGUAUUUUAGCCAACAAAAAGCUAAAGGUGUCUCUCGGGGUCAUUUCUGCAACCAUGAAUUGGGGAUCCUGUGAUUUUUUUCAGGCCUGUGAUUAUGGUUGCUGGCCUUUUUGUUACUCAUCAGUGGAAACCAAUAGCUCUUGGGGAUGGAUGUGGUCCUAUUUCAGACUCAGCCAAGGGUGGAGUAAAGGUGAGGCCAGGCAGCUCCUUAAACCUCUCAUCUCUGUCCUCAGGCUUGGUGGAGCCAGUGAACGUGGUGGACAAUGGAGAUGGCACACACACAGUAACCUACACCCCAUCUCAGGAGGGACCUUACAUGGUCUCAGUUAAAUAUGCUGAUGAAGAGAUUCCUCGCAGGU
rnacentral:lncRNA from 1 species